UUCGAUACCCAGGAGCUUAAGAAUUACAAUUUAUGCUUGAAUAAUCUUCGAAAGACAACUAUUUCAACUCUGGAUGCCGUUGCUGUGGCUCUCUUGCACAAGGUGUUCAACUGGAGGGUGGUCGAUUGUGAUUUGGCUAUCGGACUCUGUACGCUCCUCCCCAAAGCAGAAGUCUUAAAAAUACUCUGGAAGUUUAUUGACAACACCUGGCAGAACUAUGACAAAAUUCUGGCUGGGCCAGGAUCCGGGGCCAUCUUGCCUGCUUGUACG